rnacentral:lncRNA from 1 species
GGCGACGAGUGACGGCUCGCCGAGGGUGGCGCGGGCUGGCCUCGGGGCCCUGGAGGGCAGGCGGGCCGGAGAAUCCGAGCCGUUGACUCGCCGCCCCCUCCCGGCAUGUCGGCUCAGGCCUCCGACCCUGCGGCCCCGGCCCCGGCUCUGGAAGCCGCGAAGCCCUCGGGACUGGAGCCCGGCGCCGCCGCCUGCGGUCUGAAGCCCCUGACCCCGAACAGCAAGUACGUGAAGCUGAACGUGGGCGGCUCGCUGCACUACACCACGCUCCGCACGCUCACGGGCCAGGACUCCAUGCUCAAAGCCAUGUUCAGCGGCCGCGCGGAGGUGCUCACCGACGCCGGAGGUACGCGCCGCCGCCCCGCCCAGCUUCCCCUCCUUUUGCGAGCACUUUCCCUCCUCUGCUCCUUUGCCCCCAGCGGUAGCCAGCUAGUUACCCCGACUCUGCGAGGCUCUGUGGUUGGGUGCUGA